UUUGUCAUAAACCACAUGUAGUAAGGUGCAAUAAAAAAAGUGUUAAGCUCUUUGUGGCUUGUCAGUGUCUUUGUGACUCUCAAACCUGUAACAGUUAGCAGGAUCUGAUCAGCCAUCCUUGAUUUCUCCUGCCUUCAGACAUUUUUUACAACAUGUCAGGCGAAUGGACAAGCUUCUCUGAAGUUUGUUGGAAUUGGACACUGGGGUGGACUUCCUAUAUUCCCCACAACACGCCACAUGAGUUUGACACGGCCAAUGAACUGGGCAGAAUCACUCAGGCCUGGACUUUGUCCUCAGUCUCGGAGAUCAGGGAUGUAGAUGACACCCAUUUUAAGUUUAAAUGAAGGCCUAUUCUUCAGUCUUCCUGGGAGAGUGUGUUCUCUCACCCCGCGCUGAUGGACGUGUCGUGGUACCUGGUAGCAGGAAAUCAUGAUCACCUGGAAACAUAUCAGCCCAGAUCGCUUACUCAAACAGAUCGGAAAGAUGGAUCUACCCAGACCUCCACUACGAGCUGAACUUCAAGGUUACUUCCAUCACGGUUCUGAUGAUUGACACGGUGGUUUUGUGUGGGAACACCUAUGACGGGCUUGAACCUGUAGGUCCAGGGGACUACGUUGUUUUUAAGCAACGAAUGAAAUGGAUCAAAAAGAAACUUCAAAACACCAAGUGAGUUAUUAGUACAACAGUAGCUAAGACCCAAAUGCAAACAAUAUCUAAUAGAAGAACAAACAACACUGAAAUCCAAUGUGGAUAAUCGCAAGAAGUGUUUUGCUUUUACUGGGCAAACAUUAGACGUCUAACAGGAAUUUUAGGGCAUGUUUUUAAAGGCCCUGGCCUGCCACACUCCUUCCACGCCUCCAUUGUCACAUUCUUUCACUUAUUCUCUCUCACUUCUUCACCGCUUCAGAUCCACGAUCACAUCCUCUUAAAUCUCAGAUGUGACUUUGGAAAACACUCCUGGCAUUCAAUACUAAAAAUAUGACCAGUUAUUAAAAGGGACCGUUUGCCAAAAAAUUAAAUCUGUCAUCACCCUUAUAUCAUUGCAAAAAACAGUAAAAAAACAGACUGUACUAAAUGCCCUAUGUCACUUGAUUGAUAAUUUUAAAACCAAGUAAAUGGCCUUUUAGAAUAACAGUAAACGUGUCCACUUUCAGGUUGUAGUGUGUUUCUUUUUGAUGUGGAGUUUUAUCAUCUUAAUGAAAGAAUAAAUUAUAUAUUGCUAUUAAUAUUUCAAGAUGAACCCUUACUGGGCUGAAGCAACUUACAGUAGGUUUACUUGAUUAUCCAUUAUAAUUUAGCAUUUUUAAGAAAAAUCAUCAUGAAAUGAUAGUAUCAAAAAUGAUACAUCAUGCUUUUCAUAAAUAUUUGAUCCUAAAAGCAUUUAAAUAUCAUCUUAUUAAGACAUUUUAUCGAAAUAUAUUGUGUGAGAAUUUAUAUUUAUGUAUAUUUAUGCAGGUACUGUAGUCUGCUAUAAAGAUCACACUAUCAUUACUAUUACUAUUACUAUUAUAAAUACUAUUACUAUUAUUAUUAGAAUUUCAUUGUACUUUCUAACCAUAUCAAUAUCACCAUUUGCAAAAAAAAAAAAUUGCAUAUUUUUGCUGAGUUUGGACCGCUUAAUAAAUUUCAAGUGUUUUUUUUUUCUUGAGUAUGAACUCUAUAUUCUUCUAUAUUCUGUAAGUGUCAUAAAGCUUGAUGUAUCAAAUAUGACAAAAAACACUUUACAAUAUGCUGUCAAUAAACUAUUAAUUCAGGAUGCCACACAAUGUUCAAAAAAAUUGAAUGCAGCAAUUUAAAUUGUAACGUAUAAUAAUAUAAUGGCAGAAUUUGCAUUUUGAGUGAAAAUAAUUUUUUAAUUGUCCAGUUUUAUGACUUAACAGCCAGAUAAAAGUAAACACAAACAGCAAAUGCCCUCACAUGCGCAGGUGAAAUUACAGUAAAAGUUCCACCGAAAAAAAAUAGCGGCACUCACUCACUCACAAGAGUUUGGUAUCAAAACUCAGACCACUUCUGAAGAAGUACAGCAUCUCCUUAUAUCUGUGUGGUCAUGACCACA